rnacentral:tRNA from 1 species
UUCUGCAUGGUCCAAUGGUAAGGAUGCGUGGCUUUCACCCACGUGGUCCGGGUUCAAUUCCCGGUGCAGAAGCCA